GAGACAGCAGUAGCCGCGGUAAUACGUAGGGUGCAAGCGUUAAUCGGAAUUACUGGGCGUAAAGCGUGCGCAGGCGGUUAUAUAAGACAGAUGUGAAAUCCCCGGGCUCAACCUGGGAACUGCAUUUGUGACUGUAUAGCUAGAGUACGGCAGAGGGGGAUGGAAUUCCGCGUGUAGCAGUGAAAUGCGUAGAUAUGCGGAGGAACACCGAUGGCGAAGGCAAUCCCCUGGGCCUGUACUGACGCUCAUGCACGAAAGCGUGGGGAGCAAACAGGAUUAGAUACCCCCGUAGUCCCUGUCUCUUAUAC
rnacentral:rRNA from 1 species